UAUGCAUUAAAAUGGUAAAUUUUAGGUUGCAAAAAAAAAAAAAAAAUGAAGUCCUCAUACACAACAUGCUGCUGCUGCUGUUAAGUCACUUCAGUCGUAUCCGACUCUGUGGGACCCUUUAAAACGUUAUGCAAAGCAAAAUAAACCUGACGCAAAAGGCCAAAUAUUGUGAGAUUCCCGACGAGAUAUCUAGAACGGGCAAAUUUGUAAAGACGGAGAAAGUAGAUGAGAGGUUACCAGGAGCUGAGGGAGGUGGGGGCGGGGGAAGGGGGAUAAAAAAGAAAAAGAGAGUGGGGAACAAAGGGCUGCUGGGCGGCCGGAGAGCGGGGCGGCGAGGCUCCGCGCCCGAGGCAGGCGUCUUUGUCCGGGCGGGAGGCGGCGGCGGCCCGGCGGUGGGAGGCGCGGGGCCGAGCAGAGGAGCGGCGACCGCGGGGCAACGCCAGGACGGGCGCAGGGCCCGGCCGACCUGCAGCGCGACAGAGCGAGGCAGGGCCCCAGCCCGCGCACCCUCCCCUGCCCUUCCGCAGGGGCGGGCGGCGCACGCGCCCUGCCCUCUCCCGGUCCUCCUUAACAAAGAGCCAAGAGGAAGCCCUUAGCGAAGCCCAAGAAUUGGAAAUAAAGCUGCCGGGCCCUCCCUCUGCUCUGGUGCAACUCGGCCUGCGCCCCGGGGUCCUUGGCCUCAGGGACUUUACCUUACCGCGGAUCUCGGGUACUUGGUGGUUUCUGCUUUUGUUUAGCACUUGCUCCUUUUUACUGUAGAGCCCUCCGGGGUUCCUGGAGAGUGAACACAGCCUGCCACCCAGCCAGCUCUGAGCUUUCUACAUUGUAGUAGGCCUUCAUUUCUUCCUCCCCUGAGCAACCCUCUGACCCUCUAAACCCCCUAGGGUGGCUUUGGAAGGCAAACCCCAGAGGAGACACCUUGGCACAGGUGAGAUGAAUUUUAACAGUUUUUGAAAAGUCCGCUGAGGUUAAAAUUGCAGAUAAGCUGCCAAAGUUUGUAACUCCAAAUAAUGAUGAAACCAUGAAUGGAACAAUAUGCAAUGCUUAGGCUGAAUUUAUGUAGUUUAGAGCCUAUAUAGUUCAGAGCCUAUUUCCACGGGGGCCUCUUGGGGUGACAGGGCACUCCUGAUGCCUUCUUCCCUCCCCCAGAAAAUUUCCUUCUAGGGACACACCUAGAGGUCUGCCUGGCCCACAGGGACUCCCCGAACUUCUCUGAGAAGAGAGCCAGCACCCAGGAUGAGCUCCAGUGGCCAAGUCUGGGGUCCAGAACUCCAUUUCCCUGGCAGAGCUAAUUGAUAGAUCUGGAGACACCUAACCCAGGCAGGAAACCAGAUUCUCCUUCCCGAGAAUUUGAAACCUGAAUAGAGUCUCUGCGCCUGGCAAGCUCAAGUGUGUGUCACAUGAACCACUGCAUUCUAGAGAGAAGGUCCCCUAGCUGCCUGGUUCCUGCCAGUCUGGCCCUGUCUGUUAGCCGUUCCUUCAGUUCUUUGAGCCCCUAGUCUCCUUCCAGUAAAGUCCUAUUUGGAUCAGGCAGUCAAAGUUGUUUUGGGAAAACAAAACAAAAACCAUACAAACUACUAUGUAUAAAAUAAAUAAGCAACAAGGAUAUAUUGUAUAGGGAAUGUAGCCAGUAUUUUAUAAUAACUUUAAAUGGAGUGUAAUCUAUAAACAUUUUGAAUCACUAAGUUGUACACCUGAAAAGAAUAUAAUGUGGUAAAUCAACUAUACCUCAGUAAAAAUGGCACAAAACGAAAUAAAAACCAAACCAAGUGAUAUAAGGAAGACAUUAUAAAUAUUACAGCAUCCAGGAAGUCAAACCAUGGUGAAAUGGAAAGAGCAUGAACUUGAAUUUUUUUUUCCUUUAAAAAUCUUUCCACACCUGAAGUAGUAUUGAAUCUUAGUUCUUUAACUGGCCAGCUGUAUAAAUUUAGACAAGUUACCCUUUCUAAGCCUCAAUUUCCUUGACCAUGAAGUAGAGAUUGCCGACCUCAUAAAAUCAGCUCUUUAAUUAGUCUAGUGACAUUUAUUGUGGUCACGCAAGAGGCUAUUUUUGCUUAUUUCUUAGAUCUGGGCUGCAUGACAGCUGAAACUUCUGGAAAUUAGUGGUAUUAAGGUACUUUGAGUAUCAUCGCACUUGAACAUUUUGUUAGACCAGGAAUCUUCUCUUUCUCCAUUUUCUUUAGGAGGCAUUGUGGUAGCAACUGAACAUUCAGAAUGGUCCUUUUGAAAAAAUGGUGGUGAAAGACACGUAACAUAAAAUUACUGUCUUAACCAUUUUUAAGCGUACAGUUCAGUGGCAUUAAGUACAUUCACGUUGUUAUGCAACCAGAGGAUUUACUAAACAUUUUUAUGCUUUACUAAAAAUAAACAAAAACCUUUCAAACCCUUU